rnacentral:rRNA from 1 species
AUUGAACGCUGGCGGCAGGCCUAACACAUGCAAGUCGAACGGUAGCACAGAGAGCUUGCUCUCGGGUGACGAGUGGCGGACGGGUGAGUAACGUCUGGGAAACUGCCCGAUGGAGGGGGAUAACUACUGGAAACGGUAGCUAAUACCGCAUAACGUCGCAAGACCAAAGUGGGGGACCUUCGGGCCUCACAUCAUCGGAUGUGCCCAGAUGGGAUUAGCUAGUAGGUGGGGUAAUGGCUCACCUAGGCGACGAUCCCUAGCUGGUCUGAGAGGAUGACCAGCCACACUGGAACUGGGACACGGUCCAGACGCCUACGGGAGGCAGCAGUGGGGAAUAUUGCACAAUGGGCGCAAGCCUGAUGCAGCCAUGCCGCGUGUAUUAAGAAGGCCUUCGGGUUGUAAAGUACUUUCAGCGGGGAGGAAGGCGGUGAAGUUAAUAACUUCACCGAUUGACGUUACCCGCAGAAGAAGCACCGGCUAACUCCGUGCCAGCCGCCGCGGUAA